CUUAGAGUAGUUUAAAUAUGUGGAAGUGCCAGUGACAAUCUGGAAAUUAAGAAUGUGUCGUAACAAAGUAAAUGCCAUGGGAUUUAGAGUUUAGUAUUUUACUUCUGUUGUUAGCGAAGUUUUCCCAUAUAAAUUAUAUUGUAUUGCCAAGACACACUGAAUGCGGCUAAUGUCCACAUCUUAAUGAGGUCAUCAGUCUGUCUGUCGUUGUAGGCACCCCCCCAUCCCCUUCCUCCAAAAAAAUGUGUCUUCACCUGUGUGUCUCGUAGCACCCCUUUUGAAUAUCUUACCCCCUUCAGUGUAGAGGGGAGGGGAGCUGUUGAUGGGGGCUGUGGAGUGGUCACAGGGGCUGUAGAGUGGGGGCACAGGGGCUGUAGAGGGGAGGGCACCGGAGAUGUAGAGGGGUGCACAGGGGCUGCAGAGGGGAGCAGGGGCUGUAGAAGGUAGAACGGGAGCUGUGAAAGGGAGGGGAGCUUUGGAGUGAUCACAGGGGCUGUAGAGUAGGAGCAGAGGUGCUGUAGAGCAGGCAGAGGGGCUGUAGAGGGAAAGACAAUAGCUGCAGAGUGGCCUGGGGGAAGUGGGUGGCCAGGGGCUGUAGAGGGGGGCAGGGGUUGUGGUGGGUGACAAUUGCUGUAGAAUGGGACCAGGGGCUGUGGUGGGGCCCGGGGUUGUAGAGAGGGGCAGAGGCUGUGGUGGGUAACAGUAGCUGUAAAGGGUGGCCAGGGGCUGUGAUGGGGCAAUGGGCUGUAGAUGGCAGCAGGGGUGGUGGGUGGGGCAGAGGGAAUGUAGAAGGGGCAUGUGGGCUGUAGAGGGGGCAGAGGGGCGGUAGAAGUGGGCAGAGGGGCUGUAGAGGGGCUGCUUAAAAAUAAAUCUUUUUGAUUAAAAUAAAAACAAAACUAAAAUAAAGUAAAUUCCCACCUCCCUAAGGCUUACCUUGGGCCAAGGAGGGGGUAAAUUUUAUCCCAGGUCUGCUAGGGAGUCUGGGAGAAGAGGAGUGAAAGUCAUGCCCUCCUUCUGACAUCAUCAGGAGUUGGCUGAAUUUACUGCCAAUCUGCUGUGUGCUGGCUUCAGGGAGAGCAAAGUAGGCUGCAGUGAUUUGAAAAAUUUGAGUCCCCAGCCAGAAGCAGGGGAUUUGGAUUUUUGCGCCCACCUCCUCUAGUGCCCUAAGGCGCCCUCGUCGACCCUGCUUGUAGGUAGAUUACAUAACACCAUAUAAUUCAUACAUUAUUUUGUUUAUAAAUCCAAUAUUUCACUGGACUGAGACCCUGUCCACCCAUUAUUUUUUGUGCUUAUAAUCUAAACUGAAAUUGUCUCAAAGUCCUCAAAUAUAUUUGAGUAACUGCUAUAUUUGGCUGAUGGAAUUUAACAGCAUAGGAUAAACUUGAAUAUAUGUUAACAUUAUUAUGAAAGUGUUGACUAAAAUUGGUGAAUUACACAGUAAGAAAGCAUGCGUUAUAUAUUCAAGAUCAGCAUAAUUUGUUUAUAGUUAGGAG